CAGUAGCCGCGGGAAUACGAAGGGUGCAAGCGUUAAUCGGAAUUACUGGGCGUAAAGCGCGCGUAGGUGGUUUGGUAAGAUGGAUGUGAAAUCCCCGGGCUCAACCUGGGAACUGCAUCCAUAACUGCCUGACUAGAGUACGGUAGAGGGUGGUGGAAUUUCCUGUGUAGCGGUGAAAUGCGUAGAUAUAGGAAGGAACACCAGUGGCGAAGGCGACCACCUGGACUGAUACUGACACUGAGGUGCGAAAGCGUGGGGAGCAAACAGGAUUAGAGACCCCCGUAGUCCCUGUCUCUUAUAA
rnacentral:rRNA from 1 species